GGCUCGCUCCCUCACCGACCCUCUGGUCACGGAGACUCACCUUGGGGAUCCAUCCUCUCCAAGCGGCCUCGGUUGAGACGCCUUCCGUGGGACCGUCUCCCGGCCUCGGCACCUCCUGAACUGCUCCUCCCAAGGUAAGUCUCCUCUCAGGUCGAGCUCGGCUGCCCCUUAGGUAGUCGCUCCCCGAGGGUCUUUAGAGACACCCGGGUUUCCGCCUGCGCUCGGCUAGACUCUGCCUUAAACUUCACUUCCGCGUUCUUGUCUCGUUCUUUCCUCUUCGCCGUCACUGAAAACGAAACCUCAACGCCGCCCUCUUGGCAGGCGUCCCGGGGCCAACAUACGCCGUGGAGCGCAGCAAGGGCUAGGGCUUCCUGAACCUCUCCGGGAGAGGUCUAUUGCUAUAGGCAGGCCCGCCCUAGGAGCAUUGUCUUCCCGGGGAAGACAAACAAUUGGGGGCUCGUCCGGGAUUUGAAUUCCUCCAUUCUCACAUUAUGGGACAAAUCCACGGGCUUUCCCCAACUCCAAUACCCAAAGCCCCCAGGGGGCUAUCAACCCACCACUGGCUUAACUUUCUCCAGGCUGCUUACCGCUUGCAGCCUAGGCCCUCCGAUUUCGACUUCCAGCAGCUACGACGCUUUCUAAAACUAGCCCUUAAAACGCCCAUUUGGCUAAAUCCUAUUGACUACUCGCUUUUAGCUAGCCUUAUCCCCAAGGGAUAUCCAGGAAGGGUGGUAGAGAUUAUAAAUAUCCUUGUCAAAAAUCAAGUCUCCCCUAGCGCCCCCGCCGCCCCAGUUCCGACACCUAUCUGCCCUACUACUACUCCUCCGCCACCUCCCCCCCCUUCCCCGGAGGCCCAUGUUCCCCCCCCUUACGUGGAACCCACCACCACGCAAUGCUUCCCUAUCUUACAUCCCCCAGGAGCCCCCUCAGCUCAUAGGCCCUGGCAGAUGAAAGACUUACAGGCCAUCAAGCAGGAGGUCAGCUCCUCUGCUCUUGGCAGCCCCCAGUUCAUGCAGACCCUCCGGCUGGCGGUACAACAGUUUGACCCCACCGCCAAGGACUUACAAGAUCUCCUCCAGUACCUAUGCUCCUCCCUCGUAGUUUCCUUACACCAUCAGCAGCUUAACACACUAAUUACCGAGGCUGAGACCCGCGGGAUGACAGGCUACAACCCCAUGGCAGGGCCCCUAAGAAUGCAGGCUAAUAACCCCGCCCAGCAAGGUCUUAGACGGGAGUACCAGAAUCUUUGGCUGGCUGCUUUCUCCACCCUGCCAGGCAAUACCCGUGACCCCUCUUGGGCAGCUAUCCUACAGGGGCUGGAGGAACCCUAUUGCGCGUUCGUAGAGCGCCUUAACGUGGCCCUUGACAACGGCCUCCCCGAGGGUACCCCCAAAGAGCCCAUCUUACGUUCCCUAGCGUACUCAAACGCCAACAAAGAAUGCCAAAAAAUCUUACAAGCCCGCGGACACACUAACAGCCCCCUUGGGGAGAUGCUCCGGACAUGUCAGGCGUGGACACCCAAGGACAAAACCAAGGUCCUUGUGGUCCAACCACGGAGGCCCCCCCCCACACAGCCCUGCUUUCGUUGUGGCAAGGUAGGACACUGGAGUCGGGACUGUACCCAGCCACGCCCCCCUCCUGGCCCCUGCCCCCUAUGCCAAGAUCCUUCUCACUGGAAAAGGGACUGCCCACAACUCAAACCCCCUCAGGAGGAAGGGGAACCCCUCCUGUUGGAUCUCCCUUCCACCUCAGGCACUACUGAGGAAAAAAACUCCUUAAGGGGGGAGAUCUAAUCUCCCCCCAUCCCGAUCAAGACAUCUCGAUACUCCCACUCAUCCCCCUGCGGCAGCAACAGCAACCAAUUCUAGGGGUCCGGAUCUCCGUUAUGGGACAAACACCUCAGCCUACCCAAGCGCUACUUGACACAGGAGCCGACCUUACGGUUAUACCCCAGACACUCGUGCCCGGGCCGGUAAAGCUCCACGACACCCUGAUCCUAGGCGCCAGUGGGCAAACCAACACCCAGUUCAAACUCCUCCAAACCCCCCUACACAUAUUCUUGCCCUUCCGAAGGUCCCCCGUUAUCCUUUCCUCCUGCCUCUUAGACACCCACAACAAAUGGACCAUCAUUGGAAGGGACGCCCUACAACAAUGCCAGGGGCUUCUAUACCUCCCAGACGACCCCAGCCCCCACCAAUUGCUGCCAAUAGCCACUCCAAACACCAUAGGCCUCGAACACCUUCCCCCACCUCCCCAAGUGGACCAAUUUCCUUUAAACCUGAGCGCCUCCAGGCCUUAAAUGACCUGGUCUCCAAGGCCCUGGAGGCUGGUCACAUUGAACCAUACUCAGGACCAGGCAAUAACCCCGUCUUCCCCGUUAAAAAACCAAAUGGUAAAUGGAGGUUCAUUCAUGACCUAAGAGCCACCAAUGCCAUUACUACCACCCUCACCUCUCCUUCCCCAGGGCCCCCCGAUCUCACUAGCCUACCGACAGCCUUACCCCACCUACAGACCAUAGAUCUUACUGACGCCUUUUUCCAAAUCCCCCUCCCCAAGCAGUACCAGCCAUACUUCGCCUUCACCAUUCCCCAGCCAUGUAACUAUGGCCCCGGGACCAGAUAUGCAUGGACUGUCCUUCCACAGGGGUUUAAAAACAGCCCCACCCUCUUCGAACAACAAUUAGCAGCCGUCCUCAACCCCAUGAGGAAAAUGUUUCCCACAUCGACCAUUGUCCAAUACAUGGAUGACAUACUUUUAGCCAGCCCCACCAAUGAGGAAUUACAACAACUCUCCCAGCUAACCCUCCAGGCACUGACCACGCAUGGCCUUCCAAUUUCCCAGGAAAAAACACAACAAACCCCAGGCCAAAUACGCUUCUUAGGACAGGUCAUCUCCCCUAAUCACAUUACAUAUGAGAGUACCCCUACUAUUCCCAUAAAAUCCCAAUGGACACUCACUGAAUUACAAGUUAUCCUAGGAGAGAUCCAGUGGGUCUCUAAAGGAACACCCAUCCUUCGCAAACACCUACAAUCCCUAUAUUCUGCCCUUCACGGGUACCGGGACCCAAGAGCUUGUAUCACCCUCACCCCACAACAACUCCAUGCGUUACAUGCCAUUCAACAAGCUCUACAACAUAACUGCCGUGGCCGCCUCAACCCCGCCCUACCUCUCCUUGGCCUCAUCUCGUUAAGUACAUCUGGUACAACAUCUGUCAUCUUUCAACCCAAGCAAAAUUGGCCCCUGGCUUGGCUCCACACCCCCCACCCUCCGACCAGUUUAUGUCCUUGGGGUCACCUACUGGCCUGCACCAUCUUAACUCUAGACAAAUAUACCCUACAACAUUAUGGCCAGCUCUGCCAAUCUUUCCACCACAACAUGUCAAAGCAAGCCCUUUGCGACUUCCUGAGGAACUCCCCUCAUCCAAGUGUCGGCAUCCUCAUUCACCACAUGGGUCGAUUCCAUAACCUUGGCAGCCAACCGUCUGGUCCGUGGAAGACUCUCUUACACCUCCCAACCCUUCUCCAGGAACCACGACUCCUCAGGCCAAUUUUCACCCUCUCCCCCGUCGUGCUUGACACGGCCCCCUGCCUUUUUUCCGAUGGCUCCCCUCAAAAGGCAGCGUACGUUCUCUGGGACCAGACUAUCCUUCAACAGGACAUCACUCCCCUGCCCUCUCACGAAACACAUUCCGCACAAAAGGGGGAGCUCCUUGCACUUAUCUGUGGACUACGUGCUGCCAAGCCAUGGCCUUCCCUUAACAUCUUUUUAGACUCUAAAUAUUUAAUCAAAUACCUACAUUCCCUCGCCAUUGGGGCCUUCCUCGGCACUUCCGCCCAUCAAACCCUCCAGGCGGCCUUGCCACCCCUACUGCAGGGCAAGACCAUCUACCUCCACCAUGUCCGCAGCCACACCAACCUCCCCGACCCAAUUUCCACCUUCAAUGAAUACACAGACUCCCUUAUCUUAGCUCCCCUUGUUCCCCUGACGCCCCAAGGCCUCCACGGCCUCACCCAUUGCAAUCAAAGGGCUCUAGUCUCUUUUGGCGCCACACCAAGGGAAGCCAAGUCCCUUGUACAGACUUGCCAUACCUGUCAAACCAUCAACUCACAACAUCAUAUGCCUCGAGGGUACAUUCGCCGGGGCCUCUUGCCCAACCACAUAUGGCAAGGUGAUGUAACCCAUUAUAAGUACAAAAAAUACAAAUACUGCCUCCACGUCUGGGUAGACACCUUCUCCGGUGCGGUUUCCGUCUCCUGUAAAAAGAAAGAAACCAGCUGUGAGACUAUCAGCGCCGUUCUUCAGGCCAUUUCCCUCCUAGGGAAACCACUCCACAUUAACACAGAUAAUGGGCCAGCCUUCCUAUCACAAGAAUUCCAGGAGUUUUGUACCUCCUAUCGCAUCAAGCAUUCUACCCAUAUACCAUACAACCCCACCAGCUCAGGCCUGGUCGAGAGAACCAAUGGUGUAAUCAAAAACUUACUAAAUAAAUAUCUACUAGACUGUCCUAACCUUCCCCUAGACAAUGCCAUUCACAAAGCCCUUUGGACUCUCAAUCAGCUAAAUGUCAUGAACCCCAGUGGUAAAACCCGAUGGCAAAUCCACCACAGUCCUCCACUACCACCCAUUCCUGAAGCCUCUACCCCUCCCAAACCACCUCCCAAAUGGUUCUAUUAUAAACUCCCCGGCCUUACCAAUCAGCGGUGGAAAGGUCCAUUGCAAUCCCUCCAGGAAGCGGCCGGGGCAGCCUUGCUCUCCAUAGACGGCUCCCCCCGGUGGAUCCCGUGGCGAUUCCUGAAAAAAGCUGCAUGCCCAAGACCAGACGCCAGCGAACUCGCCGAGCACGCCGCAACAGACCACCAACACCAUGGGUAAUGUUUUCUUCCUACUUUUAUUCAGUCUCACACAUUUUCCACUAGCCCAGCAGAGCCGAUGCACACUCACGAUUGGUAUCUCCUCCUACCACUCCAGCCCCUGUAGCCCAACCCAACCCGUCUGCACGUGGAACCUCGACCUUAAUUCCCUAACAACGGACCAACGACUACACCCCCCCUGCCCUAACCUAAUUACUUACUCUGGCUUCCAUAAGACUUAUUCCUUAUACUUAUUCCCACAUUGGAUAAAAAAGCCAAACAGACAGGGCCUAGGGUACUACUCGCCUUCCUACAAUGACCCUUGCUCGCUACAAUGCCCCUACUUGGGCUGCCAAGCAUGGACAUCCGCAUACACGGGCCCCGUCUCCAGUCCAUCCUGGAAGUUUCAUUCAGAUGUAAAUUUCACCCAGGAAGUCAGCCAAGUGUCCCUUCGACUACACUUCUCUAAGUGCGGCUCCUCCAUGACCCUCCUAGUAGAUGCCCCUGGAUAUGAUCCUUUAUGGUUCAUCACCUCAGAACCCACUCAGCCUCCACCAACUUCUCCCCCAUUGGUCCAUGACUCCGACCUUGAACAUGUCCUAACCCCCUCCACGUCCUGGACGACCAAAAUACUCAAAUUUAUCCAGCUGACCUUACAGAGCACCAAUUACUCCUGCAUGGUUUGCGUGGAUAGAUCCAGCCUCUCAUCCUGGCAUGUACUCUACACCCCCAACAUCUCCAUUCCCCAACAAACCUCCUCCCGAACCAUCCUCUUUCCUUCCCUUGCCCUGCCCGCUCCUCCAUCCCAACCCUUCCCUUGGACCCAUUGCUACCAACCUCGCCUACAGGCGAUAACAACAGAUAACUGCAACAACUCCAUUAUCCUCCCCCCUUUUUCCCUCGCUCCCGUACCUCCUCCGGCGACAAGACGCCGCCGUGCCGUUCCAAUAGCAGUGUGGCUUGUCUCCGCCCUAGCGGCCGGAACAGGUAUCGCUGGUGGAGUAACAGGCUCCCUAUCUCUGGCUUCCAGUAAAAGCCUUCUCCUCGAGGUUGACAAAGACAUCUCCCACCUUACCCAGGCCAUAGUCAAAAAUCAUCAAAACAUCCUCCGGGUUGCACAGUAUGCAGCCCAAAAUAGACGAGGAUUAGACCUCCUAUUCUGGGAACAAGGGGGUUUGUGCAAGGCCAUACAGGAGCAAUGUUGCUUCCUCAACAUCAGUAACACUCAUGUAUCCGUCCUCCAGGAACGGCCCCCUCUUGAAAAACGUGUCAUCACCGGCUGGGGACUAAACUGGGAUCUUGGACUGUCCCAAUGGGCACGAGAAGCCCUCCAGACAGGCAUAACCAUUCUCGCUCUACUCCUCCUCGUCAUAUUGUUUGGCCCCUGUAUCCUCCGCCAAAUCCAGGCCCUUCCACAGCGGUUACAAAACCGACAUAACCAGUAUUCCCUUAUCAACCCAGAAACCAUGCUAUAAUAGACCUGCUAGCUUCUGCAGCAAAUCCCCUAGGUUCGUCCCCCUACCAUUGACCCAUCCACAGUCCUCUAUACCAGAUGAGUCGCCCCCGAUGUCCAGCCCUAACUCGAUUCUGAAUAAUUGCCUCAAAUAGUUCCUCUAACCCCCGCUCACAUUCCUCCCAUAGGACCUUCUUUUCCCCUUCAGGAAAUCCACAUAACCCUGAAGCAAGUCACAAAACCCAUCAAAACCCAGGAGUCCUAUACACUCCAACUGCUGAUGCCUUUCUUCCCUCUCCCGGCGCUUUUGAUCCUUUUCCCGCAGGCGCUCCUUUCUGCGCCGCUCCCGCUCCUCACGCUCCUGCAGAAGUUUUAAGAUCUCCCGCUGCUCCUCCGCCAACAGUCUCCGACGAGAGUCUCGCACCUGCUCGCUGACCGAUCCCGACCCCAGAGGGCGACCUUUUGCUGUCCUUCUCGGUUCCUCUCCAGGGGGAGGCACACCAGAUGUCAGACUCGCCUCUCCCUGGUCUCCUAACGGCAAUCUCCUAAAAUAGUCUAAAAAAUCACACAUAAUUACAAUCCUGUCUCCUCUCAGCCCAUUUCCCAGGAUUUGGACAGAGCCUCCUAUAUGGAUACCCCGUCUACGUGUUUGGCGAUUGUGUACAGGCCGAUUGGUGUCCCGUCUCAGGUGGUCUAUGUUCCACCCGCCUACAUCGACAUGCCCUCCUGGCCACCUGUCCAGAGCACCAACUCACCUGGGACCCCAUCGAUGGACGCGUUGUCAGCUCUCCUCUCCAAUACCUUAUCCCUCGCCUCCCCUCCUUCCCCACCCAGAGAACCUCAAGGACCCUCAAGGUCCUUACCCCUCCCACCACUCCUGUCUCCCCCAAGGUUCCACCUGCCUUCUUUCAAUCAAUGCGAAAGCACACCCCCUACCGAAAUGGAUGCCUGGAACCAACCCUCGGGGAUCAGCUCCCCUCCCUCGCCUUCCCCGAACCUGGCCUCCGUCCCCAAAACAUCUACACCACCUGGGGAAAAACCGUAGUAUGCCUAUACCUAUACCAGCUUUCCCCACCCAUGACAUGGCCACUUAUACCCCAUGUCAUAUUCUGCCACCCCAGACAAUUAGGAGCCUUCCUCACCAAGGUGCCUCUAAAACGAUUAGAAGAACUUCUAUACAAAAUGUUCCUACACACAGGGACAGUCAUAGUCCUCCCGGAGGACGACCUACCCACCACAAUGUUCCAACCCGUGAGGGCUCCCUGUAUCCAGACUGCCUGGUGUACAGGACUUCUCCCCUAUCACUCCAUCUUAACAACCCCAGGUCUAAUAUGGACCUUCAAUGACGGCUCACCAAUGAUUUCCGGCCCUUACCCCAAAGCAGGGCAGCCAUCUUUAGUAGUUCAGUCCUCCCUAUUAAUCUUCGAAAAAUUCGAAACCAAAGCCUUCCAUCCCUCCUAUCUACUCUCUCAUCAGCUUAUACAAUACUCCUCCUUCCAUAACCUUCACCUUCUAUUCGAUGAAUACACCAACAUCCCUGUCUCUAUUUUAUUUAAUAAAGAAGAGGCGGAUGACAAUGGCGACUAGCCUCCCGAGCCAGCCACCCAGGGCGAGUCAUCGACCCAAAAGGUCAGACCGUCUCACACAAACAAUCCCAAGUAAAGGCUCUGACGUCUCCCCCUUUUUUUAGGAACUGAAACCACGGCCCUGACGUCCCUCCCCCCUAGGAACAGGAACAGCUCUCCAGAAAAAAAUAGACCUCACCCUUACCCACUUCCCCUAGCGCUGAAAAACAAGGCUCUGACGAUUACCCCCUGCCCAUAAAAUUUGCCUAGUCAAAAUAAAAGAUGCCGAGUCUAUAAAAGCGCAAGGACAGUUCAGGAGGUGGCUCGCUCCCUCACCGACCCUCUGGUCACGGAGACUCACCUUGGGGAUCCAUCCUCUCCAAGCGGCCUCGGUUGAGACGCCUUCCGUGGGACCGUCUCCCGGCCUCGGCACCUCCUGAACUGCUCCUCCCAAGGUAAGUCUCCUCUCAGGUCGAGCUCGGCUGCCCCUUAGGUAGUCGCUCCCCGAGGGUCUUUAGAGACACCCGGGUUUCCGCCUGCGCUCGGCUAGACUCUGCCUUAAACUUCA
rnacentral:misc_RNA from 1 species